GCCCGGCUUUUAGGGAUGGCCUUUGAUCAGCCUGAUUCUCGAUUGGCCCUACGUGGAAGGAAUCUUUGUUUGACUUCAGGUGAAAGGCCUAUUGGUCGGUCCUUUGCCAAUCCUACAUUGGAUGGUCUCGAAUUGACCAAGAACAUGAAUUCCAACAUAGUAUACGAUAAGGAUAAACUUGCCUUUUUAUUGACAACAAUGAUUUUUACAAUGAAAAAGAGAGAGA
rnacentral:lncRNA from 1 species